rnacentral:rRNA from 1 species
AUUGAACGCUGGCGGCAGGCCUAACACAUGCAAGUCGAACGAGUGGCGGACGGGUGAGUAAUGUCUGGGAAACUGCCUGGUAGAGGGGGAUAACUACUGGAAACGGUAGCUAAUACCGCAUACCAUCAGAUGUGCCCAUAUGGGAUUAGCUUGUUGGUGGGGUAAAGGCUCACCAAGGCGACGAUCCCUAGCUGGUCUGAGAGGAUGACCAGCCACACUGGAACUGAGACACGGUCCAGACUCCUACGGGAGGCAGCAGUGGGGAAUUGUGGACAAUGGGCGAAAGCCUGAUGCAGCCAUGCCGCGUGUAUGAAGAAGGCCUUCGGGUUGUAAAGUACUUUCAGCGGGGAAGCGUUACCCGCAGAAGAAGCACCGGCUAACUACGUGCCAGCAGCCGCGGUAAUAC